GCCGACGACCUUCCGGAAGGCGGAAAACUGAGAAACGCUGUGGAUUUUGUGGAAAAAGUGGCUGAAAGAGCAGCAAGGGAUGCUGGAGCAGUUGACGACUUUAUUGAUAAGGUUCAAGAAGAGCAGGAAAAGGCAGAAUCGUUGGUCGAAUCUCUCAAGGAUGAAUCAGAGAACCCUCCAAA